AUGGCGAUUGUCUCGCCGUCUGCUGAUCUUGUAGCGCUACUCACCUUCCUCAUCUGCCUCAUCCAUCGUUGUGGCGCAGGAGGCUAUGACGCCGAGCUCUACCACCCGGUAAUCUUGAUCCCUGGUUUCACUUGCCCCAACCUGGAGGCGUGGCUGGCCAACACCUACGCGCCGUCGUUGCCCCGCUGCGGCGAGCUCAAGGGGAAGGGGUGGUUCCCGCUGUGGAAAAACACGACGGACCUGGUCCGGCAGGACUACGUGCCGUGCUUCGAGGAGCAGAUGCGCCUCGUCUAUGACCCCGUCCUCAACGACUACCGGAACUUGCCCGGCGUCGAGACCCGCGUGCCGGACUUCGGCUCCGCCCACGGGUUCACCUCCAAGAACGAUUCGAGCCGUAUCCCAACUUGUCUGGCAAGGGUCCGCGAAGAGCUUGAGUUGCUUGGGUAUCGUGAUGGUGAUACCCUUUUCGGAGCUCCCUACGACCCACGGCACGCUCCGCCGCUGCCGGGGCAACCAUCUCAGGUGUACUCCGACUAUUUUGCUCAUGUCAAGGACCUGGUGGAGCGCGCGAGCGAGAAGAAUCAAAACAAGCCGGUCAUCCUCGUUGCGCACAGCUUUGGUGGCAAGGUCAUCCUCGGGUUCGUCAACUCGACUCCCAUGGCAUGGAGGAAGAAAUUCAUCAAGCACCUGGUCCUCGUAUCGCCCACACCUCCGGAAGGUUUCCUGGGGGUGCUCACAAGCCUCGCCUCGGGACCGUCCUUCAUCGUCCCAUCGGUUCCGCCGCUGCUUCUGCGGCAAAUGUGGAGAACCUUUGCGAGCACCCUUUUAUCCCUCCCAUCUCCCAUGGCAUUUGGUCACAGGCCAAUUGUGAUCACCAACCACAAGAACUACUCGGCAUAUGACUACAAGGACCUCCUGCCGGCACUUGGUUUGAACAGCGAGGUCGUGAAACGAGUGCUUUCGAUGAAGCUGAGAAUUGACCCGCCGAUGGUGCCGACUACAUACCUCAAUGGUGUCGGCGUCAAAACGCCGGAGCAGGUGGUGUACCGGGAUGGUAACUUCAACGUGGCUCCCGAGAAGGUAUACGGCGAUGGAGACGGGACCAUGAAUUUGUUUAGCGUGCUUGCGUUUGUGAAGGAGCUGAGUAGGCAACAACAAGCUAACAUACCCUUCAAGUUCGUGGAGAUUGCUAAUGCCACACACUCCGAUAUUGUUGUUCAGGAGCAUUCGCUCAAGAAGGUCAUGGAUGUAAUUCUAGAAGCAAAUCGCUGA
rnacentral:rRNA from 1 species